UGGAUCCAGACUUUGAUCAUGGCUCAGGACGAACGCUGGCGGCGCGCCUAACACAUGCAAGUCGAACGGAGAUUACAGGCGGAAGUUUUCGGAUGGAAGCUUGUAAACUUAGUGGCGGACGGGUGAGUAACACGUGAGCAACCUGCCUAUCAGAGGGGGAUAACGAUUGGAAACGAUCGCUAAUACCGCAUGACAUAGCGGAACCGCAUGGUUCUGUUAUCAAAGAUUUUAUCGCUGAUAGAUGGGCUCGCGUCCGAUUAGAUAGUUGGUGGGGUAACGGCCUACCAAGUCGACGAUCGGUAGCCGGACUGAGAGGUCGAACGGCCACAUUGGGACUGAGACACGGCCCAGACUCCUACGGGAGGCAGCAGUGGGGGAUGUUGCACAAUGGGGGAAACCCUGAUGCAGCGACGCCGCGUGAGGGAAGACGGUCCUCUGGAUUGUAAACCUCUGUCUUCGGGGACGAAACGAGACGGUACCCGAGGAGGAAGCCACGGCUAACUACGUGCCAGCAGCCGCGGUAAUACGUAGGUGGCAAGCGUUGUCCAGAAUUACUGGGUGUAAAGGGAGCGUAGGCGGGCAGGCAAGUCAGGCGUGAAAUAUAUCGGCUCAACCGGUAACGGCGCUUGAAACUGCAGGUCUUGAGUGAAGUAGAGGUUGGCGGAAUUCCUAGUGUAGCGGUGAAAUGCGUAGAUAUUAGGAGGAACACCAGUGGCGUAGGCGGCCAACUGGGCUUUUACUGACGCUGAGGCUCGAAAGUGUGGGGAGCAAACAGGAUUAGAUACCCUGGUAGUCCACACCGUAAACGAUGAUUACUAGGUGUGGGGGGACUGACCCCUUCCGUGCCGGAGUUAACACAAUAAGUAAUCCACCUGGGGAGUACGGCCGCAAGGUUGCAACUCAAAUGAAUUGACGGA
rnacentral:rRNA from 1 species